CUAUCCUGGCUACAGUUUUUUUUUUUUCAUUUUAUUUAUUUUCAAAUAACCAGCUUUUAGUUUUGUUGAUUUUCCUAUUGAUUUACUGUUUAUAAUUUCAUUGAUUUUUUUUUUGCUCAAUUUUUAUUAUUUGUUUUUUCUUCUGCUAACUUUAAAUUUAAUUUGCUCUUCUUUUCCUAGUUUCCUAAGGUGGAAGCUUAGAUAAUUAUUUUUAGAUGUCUUUUCUUUUCUAAUAUAUGGAUUCAGUGCUAGACAUUUAUUUGUAGGCACUGCUUUCGAUCGUUAUCAAAUUUUGGUAAGUUGUAUUUUCAUUUUCCUUCAGUUCAAAAUACUUUUAAAUUUCUCUCGAGAUUUCACUAUUGGUCUGUGUAUUAUUUGGAAUGUGUUAUUUACUCCUCAAGUGUUUCGGAAUUUUUCAACUACCUUCCUGUUAUUAAUUUCUAGUUUAACUUUUUGUAGUCUGAGAGCAGACAUUGUACAAUUUGUUUUUCUUUACGUUUAUUAAGUUGUGUUUUGUAGCCCAGAAUGUGGUCUAUUUUGGUGAAUUGUCCAUGUAAUCUUAAAAAGAAUGUGUAUUCUACUGUUGCUGGCUGAAAUAGUCUAUAUAUGUCCAUUAUAUUCAGUGGAUUAAUGGUGUUGCUGAAUUUAACUAUAUCAUUUUCUGAUUUUCUGCCUGCAAGAUCUGUCUAUUUCGGAGAAAGGAAUGUUGAAGUCUUUAGCCAUAAUACUGGAUUCAUCUAUUUCCUCUUGAAAUUCUAUUCUGGUUUCCUGUGCUUCAAACUUGGUUUCUCCUUCAUCCUGGAUACUUCCAGAGCCGGGGACCACUCAUAUGAUAAUGCCAGGUGAGAAAAUAUACAGGGGAGUAGGGUUCCUUUGGAAGCCAAGACUACACAUCAAAUCUGCCAACAACAAAUAACAAAACACAGAAGUUGGUUGACCAUGAUUGCCUGAAAGCCAUAGUGAGUAUUUGCGUGUGUGUUGUAUCCUGUUAAAAUCAAACUAAAUGUACAUCAUACCCAACCUUCCUAUUGUAGGCUGGCUUCUCUAUAAGCAGAUGCUGGGAGGCUAUUUGGGGUGCAAUAUGUUCCUUAGGAGUCAACAGCUGUGAUGGGAAGAAGAGGAUGCAGGAUCACACGAAGGAAGACAUCAACAGUGCUGUAGAGAGCCCUGUAGACAGUAGCAUUUGUCAGAGUGUUCGCCAUUGAGCUGAGAGGCCUGGGCAUUCCUAUUCUUCUCAGUCAAUCACCAGGUGAGAGGGCUGCCCUGGCAAGGGUUUGCCCUCAGCAUAGAGGCUCUCCCCAGAGGAGCUGGCAGCUGCAGACUGCUGACCACACUUCUGCAGGUGAGAUGCAAGUCCUUUCUUAAAGGGGAAUUUGAGUGGCCUAGCUGCAAGUCUACCACGUACCCCUUAUCCAGAGCCCCCAAAAUGCCUACAGUCCCUCCAACACCACCUGACAGAAACAGAAGGCUAACAUAGAAAUCAGCAUGGAAAGAGAUAGCGGCCUAAGCUGAUUGUGACUAAAAGCAUCUUACUUUACAGAUUUCACAAAAGCAUAUGAUCACGUGGGAAAAAGGCUAGGGUCCUUUCAGGGGCUUAUUAGGGUCCCAUGCAAGGGGCCCUGAAGCUUAAGUUCACUAGCAUCCACUAAACCUGGGAGUAUAUUCACAACGUUACAUCCCCCAAAGCAACCACCCCAGAGGGAUUCACAGAAUAAUUCCACCAAACCUUUAAGGACCUUAAUCGAAUGUGACUCAAACUGUUCCAGUACACAGAAGUAUAAAGCAGUUUUGAAAUUCUUUUUUUUUUUUUUUGAGAUUAGCAUAUUAAAACCUAAACCAUAUAUAAAGAGAAAAAAAAGUAAAUUGCAGAACUAACUAAUUUACCUAAAUUGAUAACAAACAGAAUCCAGAAUGCAUUAAGUAAGUAAUACUAUAAUCAAGGGGGUCUUAAUCCAAGGGUGGUGAAAUGUUAGGGAAUCCAUCCAUGUAAUUCAUCAAAGAAAUAGAUCAAAAGAAAAAAUUAUGAUUAUCUCUAAAGAUACUGAAAAGUUAUUGGAUAAGAUUCAAUAGCUCAUCUUAAUAAAACUUUAAGCAAUAAAAAGAGAAAUGCUUCUUUAUAGGACAUAUCACUAUAUGAAUAUAUACUUUAAAUAUACCUUAACCUGAAAAGCAACAUUAUGACUAAUGAAGAAACAAUAGACUCAUUAAAUUCAAUUUCAACAGAAUUUUUUGGGGAGAUCUAGAUAAGUUGAGCAUAAAAUUAAUAUGGAAAUCAGACAAGCAGAGAGAGUUAAAAAUGCUAGAAAAGAAGAACAAUUAAGGGAAUCUAGGCUUUCCAUUUAUUAAAACAUGUUAUACAUCUACACUAAUUAAAGCAGUGUGGUAUUGCUAUAUGCAUGCACAGGCAGGUCAGUGAAAUAUACCAGAAAGUGCAGAAUAUAAAUGCAAUUACCUAUGAGAACUUAAUAUUUGAAAAAGGGAUAAAGGAACUUCAAAAAAUGGAGUUGGGAAAAUGGGGUAGCCAUCUGCAAAAAAUACGUAUCUUGCUGGCUCCUGACCUCACCCACACUAGAAAAUAAGCUCCCUAUUUUUUAAAGAAUGCAAUACAAAUUGAAACCAUAAAAUACUAGAAGAAAAUAUGGAGAAUUUUAAAAAAUUAAUCUUGGAGAGAGGAAGUCAUUUCCUAGAACACAAAACCAACAUGAAAUAUAAAUGUAACCAUAUAAAUGUAAAAAUAGAAUUCUGCAAAGAAAAAAAUAAACAUAAAGUCAAAGGCAAACCACAAAGUAGGAGCAAAUAUUUGCAACUCAGACUGCAAAUAGAGAAAUCAUCUGUUUUAUAGAGAGGUUUUACAAAUCAACAUAAAAAAGAUAAAAACACCUAAAGGAAAAAUAGCCAAAACAGUUUAUAAAAUAGGAAAUUCAAAUGUUUUUUAUACAUGUAAAAAGAUGCUCGGUCUGAUAAUAAAAGAAAUGCAAAUUAGUACUAGACUGAAGUAUCAUUUUUUGCCUAUCAGAUUGGUAAAGUUAAGAACAUUUAAUAACAUUCUGUGCCGGCAUGGUGUGUGUGGAAAUAGAAACUCUCCUGUAAUGGGAGUGUCAUCUGCACAUUCUCCCUAGGGGGGCAAUUUGAC
rnacentral:lncRNA from 1 species